rnacentral:sRNA from 1 species
CCCUAGCCCCGAUAGUAGCGAAGCAUCGGGAGGAAAUCCUUUUUGUGGCGGUCCCGAGGCUUCGGGAGCCACAAAAAGAUUGUAGCGGAUAGCGGGAUUAAGC